GCUCAAGGCCAGAUUGGUGCCCUUACUUCAUGUGAUAUAUUGUAUGGAUGCAUGUGUAUAACAGCAAUAUAAAUAUUAUAGUAACAUGACAUUAUUUACCGCUUCAUAGACCCAGACAAAGGCAAAUACAAGGCCCUUGGAAUUCAUCACAGUUUGGACAUGUGGCAUGGUGCGAAGAACCUUGCCAAAAAAAUAGCAGCAGCCGCAAAGAUGAAAGGAUAGUCCAUCCUCUUCAACAGGCUGAAGGACAUAGUCAACCAUUUUCGGUGGUGUUGCAAGACUGCCGACACACGUGGGCAGUUUCUUGCAUUAUGGGUUGGCAUCCUUCACCAUGUCUGCAACAUUCACACCUGGACUAUGGGAAGCUGCAAACACGGGCACCUUGAAUCGGAGCAAAUGUGAGUAAAGAUGUGGAUCCAGAGAGACUCCCAGUGCCACAAAGCGUUAGUGCAUAUAGUUCUCAAUAAAAGGUGGCAGAAAGAUGUUCACAAAUAUCUGCGAUUGAGGUAGUGUGGCUAUACUUUUUCACACUACAGACCUAGAGUCAGUCCAGAAUCAUAUCCUCAUGUUUGCCAGCAAGCGCUAUGCUUUCAGCCCCCCAGUUUAUGAGGCAAGACUUCUGCUUGCUGCUUUGGACUACAAUUUCCAUCGGAA